CGGGCAGUAGCUCAGUGGUAGAGCGCCCGCUUUGUAUGCGGGAACACUUGGCUUCGAUUCCCGGCUGCUUAC
rnacentral:tRNA from 1 species